rnacentral:rRNA from 1 species
AUACGGAGGGGGCUAGCGUUGUUCGGAAUUACUGGGCGUAAAGCGCGCGUAGGCGGGCUGGUCAGUUGGGGGUGAAAUCCCGAGGCUUAACCUCGGAACUGCCCUCAAUACUGCCAGUCUUGAGUUCGAGAGAGGUGAGUGGAAUUCCUAGUGUAGAGGUGAAAUUCGUAGAUAUUAGGAAGAACACCAGUGGCGAAGGCGGCUCACUGGCUCGAUACUGACGCUGAGGCGCGAAAGCGUGGGGAGCAAACAGGAUUAGAAACCCCAGUAGUCC